AGAUCAUAUUGAGGACAACUUCUAAGCAAGUCCUUGUAUAUCUCCCAUGCUUAAUAUAAGAACUCUCCAACCUCUUGUUGAAAAUUAGCAAUCUUCUUCUUGAGCUU